UGGGGAAUCUUGCGCAAUGGGCGAAAGCCUGACGCAGCGACGCCGCGUGCGGGAAGAAGGCCUUCGGGUUGUAAACCGCUUUCAGGAGGGACGAAGCCACUCGGGUGAAUAGCCCAGAGGGUGACGGUACCUUCAGAAGAAGCCCCGGCUAACUACGUGCCAGCAGCCGCGGUAAUACGUAGGGGGCUAGCGUUGUCCGGAUUCAUUGGGCGUAAAGCGCGUGUAGGCGGCCAGGUAGGUCCGUUGUGAAAACCCGAGGCUUAACCUCGGGACGCCGACGGAAACCCCUUGGCUAGGGUCCGGAAGAGGAGAGUGGAAUUCCCGGUGUAGCGGUGAAAUGCGCAGAUAUCGGGAAGAACACCCGUGGCGAAGGCGGCUCUCUGGGACGGUACCGACGCUGAGACGCGAAAGCGUGGGGAGCGAACAGGAUUAGAUACCCCCGUAGUCC
rnacentral:rRNA from 1 species